rnacentral:lncRNA from 1 species
GCCAGGCAGCCCGACUCUGGGGGAGCCCGAAUUCUGCCUGCCUGCCUGCCUCUGGACCUCCGAAGCCCCCUCCAAGGAGCGUGCUGAUCGGAGAAGGAAUCUCACCAGUGUCCCAGGACUGCGAGGACAUGCAAAAAGUUUAAGACACAUCUGAGAACGUAAAGCCCAGUCUGAUUAAUAAACAUCCAAUGACUCGAAACAGCACCACCAGCCAGAAGUCGCCCCAGUAUCAACGUGGCACAGCAGAAAGAACCCCGGAGUCCAAACCCCUGAUUAUGCUAGACCUGUCAGGACCACCUAUGGAGUAGAAGAUAAUCAGAAUGGAGAAAAGGAACACAUGUUCCUCAUGUGGAAGUAUCGAGCAAGCUCAAGAGGGAAAAUGAACUUGUCAUACAAAUUAUACUAAAGACUAAGAGGAAAAUAUAAUUCAAAC